CCGGCGUCGGUCCGGCCCGGCUCCGUCCGACCGACCCGCACCGCCAGUCGGGCCGGCACCUUUCUGGAGGACGAGGAUGAAGAGAAGAAGAUCCCCAAAUUUGAGGACAUCAUGGCGGACAUCCCUGCUACGGGAUCGGAGCCGGCGGUGGAGGCCCAGCCCGAGCUGCAGAUGGAAGCGAAGGAGACCGGAGAAGGCGGCGAGGGUGGCGGGGGCGCCCCCGAGGAGGAGGGUGACAUUACUAUGGACACUACGGUGCCCCUCAGCGACGGCGGCACGGGCUUCUCCGCACCGCGG